UACGGGGGGGGGUAAGCGUUGUUCGGAAUUACUGGGCGUAAAGGGCUCGUAGGCGGCCAACUAGGUCAUACGUGAAAUCCCUCAGCUUAACUGGGGAACUGCGUGUGAUACUGGAUGGCUUGGAUUUGGGAGAGGGAUGCGGAAUUCCAGGUGUAGCGGUGAAAUGCGUAAAUAUCGGGAGGAACACCAGUGGCGAAGGCGACUACCUGGCCUGUUCUUGACGCUGAGGCGCGAAAGCUAGGGGAGCAAACGGG
rnacentral:rRNA from 1 species